rnacentral:rRNA from 1 species
CCGACGGUGAGGGGUGAAAGCUGGGGGAGCAAACCGGAUUAGAUACCCGGGUAGUCCCAGCUGUAAACGAUGCAAACUAGGUGAUGCGUUGGCUUUUUGCUAGCGCAGUGCCUCAGGGAAGCCGUUAAGUUUGCCGCCUGGGAAGUACGUACGCAAGUAUGAAACUUAAAGGAAUUGGCGGGGGAGCACCACAAGGGGUGAAGCCUGCGGUUCAAUUGGAGUCAACGCCUGAAACCUUACCCGGAGAGACAGCAGAAUGAAGGUCAAGCUGAAGACUUUACCAGACAAGCUGAGAGGUGGUGCAUGGCCGUCGCCAGCUCGUGCCGUGAGAUGUCCUGUUAAGUCAGGUAACGAGCGAGAUCCCUGCCCUUAGUUGCCACUAUUACUCUCAGGAGUAGUAGGGCGAAUUAAGGGGACCGCCGCAGUUAAUGCGGAGGAAGGAAGGGGCCACGGCAGGUCAGUAUGCCCCGAAACUCUGGGGCCACACGCGGGCUGCAAUGGUAACGACAAUGAGUUCCAAAAUCGAAAGAUAGAGGUAAUCUCUAAACGUUACCACAGUUAUGAUUGAGGGCUGCAACUCGCCCUCAUGAAUAUGGAAUCCCUAGUAACCGCGUGUCAUUAUCGCGCAGUGAAUACGUCCCUGCUCCUUGCACUCACCGCCCGU